GCAUGGAAGGAAGGACUGUGUCUGUGAGGGAUGAUCAUCCUCUCAUGUGAUCCUUGGAGAUGCCAGGAAGCCCCUUGACACAUGUGGCAUGGGCUCCUUCAGAGGCUUUUGGAUCCGUCGUGAAUGUGGCAUGGGCAUGCAAAGAAAGACAGAGGCUGCAAGGGAUAAACUUCAUCUUGGGAGAUCCCUGGAGAUGGCAGGGAACCCAUGGACACAUGUGGCAUGGGCUCCUUUGGGUGCCGGUGGAUCCCUUCAUACGGUAGUGUUGGUGUAAAAGGCAAACCCGUGUCAUGAGGGAUGGUCAUCAUCUUGUGUGAUCCUUGGAGAUGGCAGGAAGCCCUGGACAUACAUGGUGUGGGGGCUCCUCCAGAGGCUGUUGGGAUCCUCCUGGAUGUGGUGUGGGCAUGGAAGGAAGGCCAGUGGAGACAAUGGAUGAUCUUGUUCUUAGCAGAUCACUGGAUGUGGCAGGGAGUCCUAGGACAUGUGUGGUGUGGGCUUCUUCAGGUGCUGGUGGUGUUGGCAUGAGGAAAGGAGGUAUCUUCGAGGGACAAUCUUCUUCUUGUGCGAUCCUUGGAGAUGCCAUGAGGCCCCUGGACACAUGUGGUGUGGGCUCCUUUGGAGGCUGUUGUAUCCCUUCUGAAUGUGGCGUGGGCAUAGAAGGAAGGCCAGUGGCCACGAGGGACAAUCUUGGUCUUGGGAGAUCCUGGAAAUGA
rnacentral:lncRNA from 1 species